rnacentral:rRNA from 1 species
GAGUUUGAUCGUGGCUCAGAACGAACGCUGGCGGCGUGGAUAAGACAUGCAAGUCGAACGGGAGAAUUGCUAGCUUGCUAAUAAUUCUCUAGCGGCGCACGGGUGAGUAACACGUGAGUAACCUGCCCCCGAGAGCGGGAUAGCCCUGGGAGACUGGGAUUAAUACCGCAUAGUAUCGAAAGAUUAAAGCAGCAAUGCGCUUGGGGAUGGGCUCGCGGCCUAUUAGUUAGUUGGUGAGGUAACGGCUCACCAAGGCGAUGACGGGUAGCCGGUCUGAGAGGAUGUCCGGCCACACUGGAACUGAGACACGGUCCAGACACCUACGGGUGGCAGCAGUCGAGAAUCAUUCACAAUGGGGGAAACCCUGAUGGUGCGACGCCGCGUGGGGGAAUGAAGGUCUUCGGAUUGUAAACCCCUGUCAUGUGGGAGCAAAAUUAAAAAGAUAGUACCACAAGAGGAAGAGACGGCUAACUCUGUGCCAGCCGCCGCCGU